UUGUAUAUCUUUAAUAACACCUUGAGAAAGACUAACGAUGAAAGUAAUGUUUCAGCAUUUUAAUAUAUUACAUUAUUAUGAUAUAAGGGAAGCCUAGGAGAUUUUCCACGGGUUAAGCCAAUCUAUCCACCUACAAAAUAUCCAACGUAAGGAAGGUCCAGCAUCCACCCCACAUCCCAAGGAAUCAGCCACAAAGACAACGGGCAAUAAACUAUAUAAGGAAAGAAAAAGAAUCUCAACCAUCAAAAGUCUGGACCGCAACUUUUACUAAUCAUAAUACCAGAUAACUUAGCGAGCCCAUGAUACUGAAUCAAUCUCGUCCCUCGAGGCCUUGUAUAAUUCAAGCCUUUUCGCACACU
rnacentral:misc_RNA from 1 species